rnacentral:rRNA from 1 species
UACGUAGGGGGCAAGCGUUAUCCGGAUUUACUGGGUGUAAAGGGAGCGUAGACGGCGGUGCAAUCCAGAUGUGAAAGCCCGGGGCUCAACCCCGGGACUGCAUUUGGAACUGUGCUGCUAGAGUGUCGGAGAGGCAGGCGGAAUUCCUAGUGUAGCGGUGAAAUGCGUAGAUAUUAGGAGGAACACCAGUGGCGAAGGCGGCCUGCUGGACGAUGACUGACGUUGAGGCUCGAAAGCGUGGGGAGCAAACAGG